CAGCCGCCGCGGUAAUACAGAGGGUGCGAGCGUUAAUCGGAUUUACUGGGCGUAAAGCGUGCGUAGGCGGCUUUUUAAGUCGGAUGUGAAAUCCCUGAGCUUAACUUAGGAAUUGCAUUCGAUACUGGGAAGCUAGAGUAUGGGAGAGGAUGGUAGAAUUCCAGGUGUAGCGGUGAAAUGCGUAGAGAUCUGGAGGAAUACCGAUGGCGAAGGCAGCCAUCUGUCCUAAUACUGACGCUGAGGUACGAAAGCAUGGGGAGCAAACAGGAUUAGAUACCCCAGUAGUCCCUGUCUCUUAUAC
rnacentral:rRNA from 1 species